GACCAGGAAACGUUAAACCAGAUGUUCCAAGUGACUGCAAGUGCUUGCCAAGGCUGAGAGGAAGCUCUCUUGGGAGAGUCAGCCAGACCAAGUUCUAAUCAGAAGCAACAAUGAGACCAUUAAACAUACAGAGUCAAGUGGAGAUGUAUUUGAAUUAUCCAGUUUGGAUGACUGCACUUCCCAGACACUAGGAAUUCAUUGGAAAGUUUGGCCACAACAACAGAAAACUAACUACACCCACCUUACCCAGCCCUACCUGCUUCUUCAGUGCUGCACAGACAGGCACGACUUCUCAAAGAAGCUCAUGCUAUGCC